rnacentral:rRNA from 1 species
AGUGAACGCUGGCGGCAGGCCUAACACAUGCAAGUCGAGCGGCAGCGCGGUGGUAGCAAUACCACUGGCGGCGAGCGGCGGACGGGUGAGGAACACAUCGGAAUCUACCUUUUUGUGGGGGAUAACGUAGGGAAACUUACGCUAAUACCGCAUACGAGCGUGCAUCGACAGAUAUGCGCUGAAAGCGGGGGCCCAGCAAUGGCCUCGCGCGGAUUGAUGAGCCGAUGUCCGAUUAGCUAGGUUGGGGGGGUAAAGCCCACCAAGGCGACGAUCGGUAGCUGGUCUGAGAGGACGACCAGCCACACUGGAACUGAGACACGGUCCAG